ensembl:misc_RNA Metazoa_SRP Metazoan signal recognition particle RNA
GCUGGGUGUGUUGGUGCACACCUGUAAUCCUAGCUACUCAGGAGGCUGAGGCAGGAGAAUUGCUUGAACCCGGGAGGCGGAGGUUGCAGUGAGCCAAGAUCGCGCCACUGCACUCCAGCCUGGGUGACAGAGUGAGACUCCGCCUCAA